CCCUACGGGGGGCAGCAGUGAGGAAUGUUGGUCAAUGGUCGGGAGACUGAACCAGCCAAGCCGCGUGAGGGAGGAAGGUACAGAGUAUCGUAAACCUCUUUUGUCAGGGAACAAAGGCGGGGACGUGUCCCCGGAUGAGUGUACCUGAAGAAAAAGCAUCGGCUAACUCCGUGCCAGCAGCCGCGGUAAUACGGAGGGUGCGAGCGUUAUCCGGAUUUAUUGGGUUUAAAGGGUGCGCAGGCGGUCUGUUAAGUCAGCGGUCAAAGCCCGGGGCUCAACCCCGGCCCGCCGUUGAAACUGGCAGG
rnacentral:rRNA from 1 species